UUUAAGCGAGGAGGAGGCUACUCUAGUUAAUACCUAGGGAUAGUGGACGUUACUCGCAGAAUAAGCACCGGCUAACUCUGUGCCAGCAGCCGCGGUAAUACAGAGGGUGCAAGCGUUAAUCGGAUUUACUGGGCGUAAAGCGCGCGUAGGUGGCCAAUUAAGUCAAAUGUGAAAUCCCCGAGCUUAACUUGGGAAUUGCAUUCGAUACUGGUUGGCUAGAGUAUGGGAGAGGAUGGUAGAAUAAGGGCGAAUUCGUUUAAACCUGCAGGACUAG
rnacentral:rRNA from 1 species